rnacentral:rRNA from 1 species
GCUAAUACCGGAUAACAACAGAUGAUGCCUAUCAACUGUUUAAAAGAUGGUUCUGCUAUCACUCUUGGAUGGACCUGCGGUGCAUUAGCUAGUUGGUAGGGUAACGGCCUACCAAGGCGAUGAUGCAUAGCCGAGUUGAGAGACUGAUCGGCCACAUUGGGACUGAGACACGGCCCAAACUCCUACGGGAGGCAGCAGCA